CUGCAAUAUCAAACUAGGUUCCAUCCCCUGCAUCAGGCUCACCUGUGCUGGACUGUAGGAACUGGCUCGACUGCUCUGGAGUCAAAAACAGGUCCUGGCU